rnacentral:lncRNA from 1 species
AAUAUCCGCUCCAAUACCAGCUUCGAUUCUCCAAUUUUUUUAAUAGUCCAUUCUUGCUCUUCAAUUCUUUGAUUUUGCUCUGAUAUCACCUUCUUGUUGUCCUCUAAACCUUGUUUGCUAUUGCACUCUACAUCCAAUAAUCUCACCAUACAAUGUAUUUAUAAAAUGUUCUUCAAUAAAGCAUUCUUAAGAGAUAUUCUUUCGAGCAAUCGACCGUGUCGAAAUCCCAAUUAAUUAAUAUCAAUCGAAAUUGGUAUUUCAUUCUCCUC